UACGGGGGGGGCAAGCGUUGUUCGGAAUUAUUGGGCGUAAAGAGCUCGUAGGCGGUUUGUCGCGUCUGCCGUGAAAGUCCGGGGCUCAACUCCGGAUCUGCGGUGGGUACGGGCAGACUAGAGUGAUGUGGGGGAGACUGGAAUUCCUGGUGUAGCGGUGAAAUGCGCAGAUAUCAGGAGGAACACCGAUGGCGAAGGCAGGUCUCUGGGCAUUAACUGACGCUGAGGAGCGAAAGCAUGGGGAGCGAACAGG
rnacentral:rRNA from 1 species